rnacentral:rRNA from 1 species
UUUGCGUCGAAGGUAUACCGGUAAGGAGUGCUGGAGCGAAUAGAAGUGAGCAUGCAGGCAUGAGUAGCGAUAAUUAAUGUGAGAAUCAUUAACGCCGUAAACCCAAGGUUUCCUACGCGAUGCUCGUCAUCGUAGGGUUAGUCGGGUCCUAAGUCGAGUCCGAAAGGGGUAGACGAUGGCAAAUUGGUUAAUAUUCCAAUACCAACAUUAGUGUGCGAUGGAAGGACGCUUAGGGCUAAGGGGGCUAGCGGAUGGAAGUGCUAGUCUAAGGUCGUAGGAGGUUAUACAGGCAAAUCCGUAUAACAAUACUCCGAGAACUGAAAGGCUUUUUGAAGUCUUCGGAUGGAUAGAAGAACCCCUGAUGCCGUCGAGCCAAGAAAAGUUUCUAAGUUUAGCUAAUGUUGCCCGUACCGUAAACCGACACAGGUGGGUGGGAUGAGUAUUCUAAGGCGCGUGGAAGAACUCUCUUUAAGGAACUCUGCAAAAUAGCACCGUAUCUUCGGUAUAAGGUGUGGUUAGCUUUGUAUUAGGAUUUACUCCGAAAGCAAGGAAACUUACAACAAAGAGUCCCUCCCGACUGUUUACCAAAAACACAGCACUCUGCUAACUCGUAAGAGGAUGUAUAGGGUGUGACGCCUGCCCGGUGCUCGAAGGUUAAUUGAUGGGGUUAGCAUUAGCGAAGCUCUUGAUCGAAGCCCGAGUAAACGGCGGCCGUAACUAUAACGGUCCUAAGGUAGCGAAAUUCCUUGUCGGUUAAAUACCGACCUGCAUGAAUGGCGUAACGAGAUGGGAGCUGUCUCAAAGAGGGAUCCAGUGAAAUUGUAGUGGAGGUGAAAAUUCCUCCUACCCGCGGCAAGACGGAAAGACCCCGUGGACCUUUACUACAGCUUGACACUGCUACUUGGAUAAGAAUGUGCAGGAUAGGUGGGAGGCUUUGAGUAUAUGACGCCAGUUGUAUAUGAGCCAUUGUUGAGAUACCACUCUUUCUUAUUUGGGUAGCUAACCAGCUUGAGUUAUCCUCAAGUGGGACAAUGUCUGGUGGGUAGUUUGACUGGGGCGGUCGCCUCCCAAAUAAUAACGGAGGCU